GACGAACGCUGGCGGCGUGCUUAACACAUGCAAGUCGAACGGAAAGGCCCUGCUUUUGUGGGGUGCUCGAGUGGCGAACGGGUGAGUAACACGUGAGUAACCUGCCCUUGACUUUGGGAUAACUUCAGGAAACUGGGGCUAAUACCGGAUAGGAGCUCCUGCUGCAUGGUGGGGGUUGGAAAGUUUCGGCGGUUGGGGAUGGACUCGCGGCUUAUCAGCUUGUUGGUGGGGUAGUGGCUUACCAAGGCUUUGACGGGUAGCCGGCCUGAGAGGGGGACCGGCCACAUGGGGACUGAGAUACGGCCCAGACUCCUACGGGAGGCAGCGGUGGGGAAUAUUGCACAGUGGGGGGAAGCCUGAUGCAGCAACGCCGGGUGCGGGAUGACGGCCUUCGGGUUGUAAACCGCUUUCGCCUGUGACGAAGCGUGAGUGACGGUAAUGGGUAAAGAAGCACCGGCUAACUACGUG
rnacentral:rRNA from 1 species